GUGAGAUUUCCAAUGUAAGUUAGUACUCCUCUUGACAAGGAUCGAAUUCUCCCUCGCGGCCUGUUAAACCGAAGGCAUUGCUGUCUACUUUAAAGCAUUUCAAGCAAUGUUU